GACGAACGCUGGCGGCGUGCUUAACACAUGCCAGUCGAACGGAAAGGCCCUGCUUUUGUGGGGUGCUCGAGUGGCGAACGGGUGAGUAACACGUGAGUAACCUGCCCUUGACUUUGUGAUAACUUCAGGAAACUGGGGCUAAUACCGGAUAGGAGCUCCUGCUGCAUGGGGGGGGUUGGAAAGUUUCGGCGGUUGGGGAUGGACUCGCGGCUUAUCAGCUUGUUGGUGGGGUAGUGGCUUACCAAGGCUUUGACGGGUAGCCGGCCUGGGAGGGUGACCGGCCACAUUGGGACUGAGAUACGGCCCAGACUGCUACGGGAGGCAGCAGUGGGGAAUAUUGCAAAAUGGGCGGAAGGCUGAUGCAGCAACGCCGCGUGCGGGAUGACGGCCUUCGGGUUGUAAACCGCUUUCGCGUGUGACGAAGCGUGAGUGACGGUAAUGGGUAAAGAAGCACCGGCUAACUACGU
rnacentral:rRNA from 1 species